GAUGAACGCUGGCGGCGUGCUUAACACAUGCAAGUCGAACGGAGUACCCCUGAAGGAGUUUUCGGACAACUGAUGGGACUACUUAGUGGCGGACGGGUGAGUAACGCGUGAGUAACCUGCCUUGGAGUGGGGAAUAACAGCUGGAAACAGCUGCUAAUACCGCAUAAUAUAUCUGUGUCGCAUGGCACUGGAUAUCAAAGAUUUAUCGCUCUGAGAUGGACUCGCGUCUGAUUAGCUGGUGGGCGGGGUAACGGCCCACCAAGGCGACGAUCAGUAGCCGGACUGAGAGGUUGGCCGGCCACAUUGGGACUGAGACACGGCCCAG
rnacentral:rRNA from 1 species